rnacentral:rRNA from 1 species
AUUGAACGCUGGCGGCAGGCCUAACACAUGCAAGUCGAGCGGUUGGGGGGAGCUUGCUCCCUGAUUCAGCGGCGGACGGGUGAGUAAUGCCUAGGAAUCUGCCUAUUAGUGGGGGACAACGUUUCGAAAGGAACGCUAAUACCGCAUACGUCCUACGGGAGAAAGCAGGGGACCUUCGGGCCUUGCGCUAAUAGAUGAGCCUAGGUCGGAUUAGCUUGUUGGUGAGGUAAUGGCUCACCAAGGCGACGAUCCGUAACUGGUCUGAGAGGAUGAUCAGUCACACUGGAACUGAGACACGGUCCAGACUCCUACGGGAGGCAGCAGUGGGGAAUAUUGGACAAUGGGCGAAAGCUUGAUCCAGCCAUGCCGCGUGUGUGAAGAAGGUCUUCGGAUUGUAAAGCACUUUAAGUUGGGAGGAAGGGUUGUAGAUUAAUACUCUGCAAUUUUGACGUUACCGACGGAAUAAGCACCGGCUAACUCUGUGCCAGCCGCCGCCGUAACAC